GAGACACAAUCCGCAGCCCCUUGGUCUGUGCAGUUACCAGCCAGUCCCCUGAGAACUUUCCCCUCCAGCACCAGGGAAAAUGGGAUUUUUGCUUCUUCUAAUUUUCGCUGUAGCAGCUUUGGAAGGUGUCCAGUCCCAGGUGCAGCUGGUGGAGUCCGGAGGGGACGUGAAAAAGCCCGGAGACUCUCUCCGCCUCUCCUGCAAAGCCUCUGGGUUCACCUUCAGCAGUGCCUACAUGAGCUGGGUCCGACAGGCUCCUGGCAAGGGACUGGAAUGGGUCGCUGCUAUAUACCCCGCUGGGAGUACAUAUUACCCUGAUUCAGUGAAAGGCCGAUUCACCAUCUCCAGGGAUAAUUCCAAGAGUGAGCUCUAUCUGCAAAUGACUGGCCUGAAGCCCGAGGACACCGCCCGCUAUUACUGUGCUAGAGACACAGUGAGGGGAAGCUGGUCUGAGCUCAGACAAAAACCUCUCCCUGCA